rnacentral:rRNA from 1 species
GUCGAGCGGACAGAUGGGAGCUUGCUCCCUGAUGUUAGCGGCGGACGGGUGAGUAACACGUGGGUAACCUGCCUGUAAGACUGGGAUAACUCCGGGAAACCGGGGCUAAUACCGGAUGGUUGUCUGAACCGCAUGGUUCAGACAUAAAAGGUGGCUUCGGCUACCACUUACAGAUGGACCCGCGGCGCAUUAGCUAGUUGGUGAGGUAACGGCUCACCAAGGCGACGAUGCGUAGCCGACCUGAGAGGGUGAUCGGCCACACUGGGACUGAGACACGGCCCAGACUCCUACGGGAGGCAGCAGUAGGGAAUCUUCCGCAAUGGACGAAAGUCUGACGGAGCAACGCCGCGUGAGUGAUGAAGGUUUUCGGAUCGUAAAGCUCUGUUGUUAGGGAAGAACAAGUGCCGUUCAAAUAGGGCGGCACCUUGACGGUACCUAACCAGAAAGCCACGGCUAACUACGUGCCAGCAGCCGCGGUAAUACGUAGGUGGCAAGCGUUGUCCGGAAUUAUUGGGCGUAAAGGGCUCGCAGGCGGUUUCUUAAGUCUGAUGUGAAAGCCCCCGGCUCAACCGGGGAGGGUCAUUGGAAACUGGGGAACUUG